AGAUAAUAAUAAUAAUAAUAAUAAUAAUCUUUAUUAUCCGUAAGGAAAUUUGUCUUAUAAUGUGUGCACUACACCAAACAAAAAACAUUAUAACUAUAAGAAACCAAAGUGUACAUUCACACCAGACUCACUCAUAAUUUACAUGUGACAAAGUUUAUACCAGAUUGUUCUUAUUUAAUGAUUUGAUUGCCAGGGGAACAAAAGAGUGUUUGUGUCUGUUUGUCUUUGCUAUCGGUGUCUUGUAUCUCUUUUGUGAUGGUAAAAUCACGAAAUCCUGACACAAAGAUGGUGACCAAGAAAUGUAUGGACAGUGAAAAAUCACGGACCUCAGCUCUGGAAGAAAAGCGUGCUAUACGAAAAAUGUCCGGCUCAUCUAGAUAGACCAACAAAGCGAAAUAGGCCACCUUAACAUGCGUGAAAUGUGGACGGGAGUGUCUCUCCACAAUAGGGCUCCACAGUUAUAUACAUGAAAAAGUGUUCUGCGAGAUUAACCUUAGUUGUUGUACGACUGAAGGAGGCCAACACUUUUACACAGGUCAAAUGUGUCUUACCCCACCAUUUUUUUUUUUGAAAAAAUGGAUCUAGCGUGCACCAGUUACGUGUGUGUAGGAUUUUUGUAAAUUUAAGAUCUACUAGUGACUAUUCUAAUAUAAGCUAUUAAUAAUACCGCUCUAAUAUUGACUAUAAGAUAAUUAUUUAUUAUUAAACUGUAUAAUUAUAACUGAUUUAAAAAAUAAAAUACGCAUUAAAAAAAACAACUUUGUGUCCUGAAAAAAAGACCACGCAUUUCCCCUAUGUUAGCACCUCCUACCAGCAUAGUUGACUACACAGUGGGGCGGAGUAAAAAGUUGCCGUAUUCCGCGUUAAAAUGCACAAAACACCUUGUGAUGUUUUUGCUAAAUCGGAAGGCGUGUUUCACAGACUAACGAAUCAAAUCUUCCUAGGCUUUCAAGUUAGGCAGACUCUAGAAGCACGUGUAGUUAAUGUCUAUUAUUUACGGCCAAAAUUCUAAGAGAUCAUAUUCAAAUCAUCAUUGCUCAUUACUUCGAAUCUCUACACCUUACAAUAAUUUAUAAUUAGAUCUAGAUACAAAAGAGGCACAUUCCUAGGCCGAAUUUCUACAAAUGCUCCUGCUUCCCUAGUGAUAUUAGAGCAUGGAAUGGGUUGCAGAAUAAAUGCAUGACGCAUAGAGGUUUAAACAAGACCAAUCGUUGUUAUCGCUAUAACAAUAGAUCUCGGUUUUUAUAUGUUAAUAAAUUAAUAAAGAAUCUUGUAUUUAUUUCAUAAUCAAUAUAAUAGUAAUUAUAUCCAAAUAUCUAUAGUUCUCUCUUUUUAAAUUAGUUUAAAAUGUUAAUAAAAGGAAAGGGGGGGAUAUAGAAUGUAGAUAUGGUAUUUUAAAAUUAAAAUUUCUUUGGGUGAGAGGAAGACACUAUCAAGAGAUCAUCAAUAAUUGAGUGACCAGUAAAAUGUGACGUCGGCUUCAAAUACAGAGUCAGUUAAGAAUACUGUGCUUCUAGAUCUAGACUAGACAUGUGGCGCCGCUCUCUCUCUCUCAAUAUAUAUUUUGCCACAAAGCGCAAUGUGUUGCAAAGACACUCCUUUGAAACAAAUGGAUAAAAUACACUCAAACACAAUACGUCACUCCAUUAUUCUGUUUACACCCCCUUCCCCGGGCUCUCUCCUUACACAAUUCCACUUUCCAACAUUUUCAGUGUAAAGUAACAAAUCUCAAGACUCAAUCUAAGCACAGCCAUCAGACCAACAUACACUAGAAAAAAGUUCAGUGAUAGCACAACACACAAGUGUAAACCAGGCCAUCUACACAGCCCCAAAACAUUGAUCUAGUUUUAUUGACUACAAUGUUGAGAGAAAAGGGGGAGGAGCCAAUUAUUGAUCGACCAAGUAGAUACGGUCAAACCGUUAAUUAGGUCACAAACACUAAGCAUGCUAGUACGUUGAUGCUUUUUGUAUGUGUGUGCGACAGGCACUGAGGGUGCUUUACGAUACGUUUUUUUUUGGUCAACUAGGUGGCUUGGAGAAGGCGGAAUUUAUCUAGAUUUAGAUGUAUAGUGAUAGUGACAGAAAGUGUGCAUCGCUCAACAUGGAAAUGUUUUGUAAAGAUGGUUACAUCUCUUGGGAGACACUGGUUUAUAUAACAGCAGAGAUGCCCAAGAUCAAAGAUGUCUUAGGGACAAUUUUUUUUUUCAAACCUGAAACCUAAAACCAAAAUAUAAGUACUCGGAAUCAGAUGUUCCUUCAGAGCUGAAGAUAAUUACUUCCUAGUUCAAACCUCCCAAAGGACGACAGGGAUAGGAGCGGACAGGGUUUGAACCCGGGACCAUCGAUAAAUCUGAACAACAGUCCAGUGCGCAAACCGCACAACCAAGCAGCCAUCCGUCUUGGGGCGGUAUAUACUAUCCACCUGUUGUGAAAACAUUGGCUACUGUCAAGGCUUACAUUGAAUCUCUACCACUUUUAGAUGAGCCAGAAAUGUUUGGGCUCCAUGAGGAUGCGAACAUAGCCUUUCAGUUGAAUGAAACCAAUGCUUUACUUGCUAAAAUACUUGAUGUUCAAUUGAGAAUCAUAGCAGCUGACGGUGGGAUGUCCAAAUGAUGAUAUUACUUAUGAACUUGCUGAGGCUGUCCUGGAUUGACAAACUGGAUAUUGAAAGAGUGUUAACAAUAUUGCCAGUGACAGAUCUUUGUGGAGCCAGCUUGCUGCCCAAUGUGCCGAACAGCGUGUGAGGACCUAAGUCUAAACUUUGCAAUUUAUAGAACUGAUGAUGUUAAAGGUCAUCUGUUUCUUUGGCCAACGGUUAACAAGCAGGAUAUCAUGAGGCAAGCACAAUGACCUACUUUCAAGUAGCUUUCAAGUAUAACAGUCUCUCUAGCGAGAUUGUAAGCCCAAACCACAGAAAUACAUUCAGGCAUCAUUAGAAAAAACUGAAAAAAGCAAUCAAAGGUUUUGUAGUGAUGAGUGAGGAAUUAGAGAAUGUAUACAGUGCAUUUUUAAAUAACCAUGACAUUCUAACUUUGUUGUAGCUACCUAUCUUAUUUCUAGCAACAUACAAGAUUACUGGAUAGCCAAAGGUGCAGCACUCUUAUGUCAAAUUUCUGAUAAAUUUUGAUUACAGAUAAAUUGUAAAGCAUUAAACAAUAAAAGCAAUGUCCAAUAAAA